UACUCCUACGGGAGGCAGCAGUGGGGAAUAUUGGACAAUGGGGGGAACCCUGAUCCAGCCAUGCCGCGUGUGUGAAGAAGGCCUUAUGGUUGUAAAGCACUUUAAGCGAGGAGGAGGCUACUGAGACUAACACUCUUGGAUAGUGGACGUUACUCGCAGAAUAAGCACCGGCUAACUCUGUGCCAGCAGCCGCGGUAAUACAGAGGGUGCGAGCGUUAAUCGGAUUUACUGGGCGUAAAGCGUGCGUAGGCGGCUUUUUAAGUCGGAUGUGAAACCCCCGAGCUUAACUUGGGAAUUGCAUUCGAUACUGGGAAGCUAGAGUAUGGGAGAGGAUGGUAGAAUUCCAGGUGUAGCGGUGAAAUGCGUAGAGAUCUGGAGGAAUACCGAUGGCGAAGGCAGCCAUCUGGCCUAAUACUGACGCUGAGGUACGAAAGCAUGGGGAGCAAACAGGAUUAGAUACCCUGGUAGUCCAUGCCGUAAACGAUGUCUACUAGCCGUUGGGGCCUUUGAGGCUUUAGUGGCGCAGCUAACGCGAUAAGUAGACCGCCUGGGGAGUACGGUCGCAAGACUAAAACUCAAAUGAAUUGACGGGGGCCCGCACAAGCGGUGGAGCAUGUGGA
rnacentral:rRNA from 1 species